rnacentral:rRNA from 1 species
GACGAACGCUGGCGGCGUGCUUAACACAUGCAAGUCGAACGGAAAGGCCCUGCUUUUGUGGGUUUCUCGAGUGGCGAACGGGUGAGUAACACGUGAGUAACCUGCCCUUGACUUUGUGAUAACUUCAGGAAACUGGGGCGAAUACCGGGUAGGAGCUUCUGCUGCAUGGGGGGGGUUGGAAAGGUUCGGCGGUUGGGGCUGGACUCGCGGCUUAUGAGCUUGAUGGGGGGGUAGUGGCUUACCAAGGCUUUGACGGGUAGCCGGCCUGAGAGGGUGAACGGCCACAUUGGGCCUGAGAUACGGCCCAGACUCGUACGGGAGGCAGCAGUGGGGAAUAUUGCGCAAUGGGCGGAAGCGUGAUGCAGCAACGCCGCGUGCGGGAUGACGGCCUUCGGGUGGUAAACCGCUUUCGACUGUAACGAAGCGUGAGUGACGGUAAUGGGUAAAGAAGCAACGGCUAACUACGUG